CGCACAGGCUAUGGGUCGUCCUCGCUCUCGUCUUCGUCCGGCUCGUACCUUCUUCCGCAGCUCGUGCCCCCACAGAGCCGCGGACAAUCUCAUCCCACUAGGAGAGGUACCGGCAACUCUGGUACUGCACCCACCAUCAUCUGGCAACUCCCUUGUGGCUUCACGAUGUUGGCCCAUACGGUUGGAUACCGCUUUGUGUCCCCAUGAACACAGGAAAUGGACAUCUCCCUACCACGAUCAGUCUCCUGGUUCAGCAGGCUCGUGGUUACGAGGGUAACUAUACUUCCAGAGUCCAAUAGAGCUUCCAUGUCGUGUACGUCAACCUUCACCGGGACCAUGGGUGCAGUUGAUUCAUGGUGUGCCCAACAGGAGGUGACGUACUUCACUGCGUGACCCACCUCGCCUCCGGGGCUUGCUGAUGGCAUAGACUCCUCUCGAGCCGGGCAAUUCCAGGUAAUGUGUCCCCGGGCGCCACACUCAAAACACCUCAUUUGGUCUCCAUCUACCUGGGGUCGUCGGUGGCGGGUCGGCCCUACCCCAGCAGUCUCUCCAGGGGUUUGCUGUCCUUUGGCCCUGUCGACUUUCGGUUUGGGGUCCACUGCAGUGGGGCUGUCCUUCCGACUCCUCGCAUGGGUCGCUGGCUCGGCCCGGCUCCCACUCAGCAGGGCCUGAGUGUUCUGAUGCAUCUCCACUGUCCGUUCAAACGUACAGAUGAGCAUGAAGCACAAGGACUACCCCUUCAAUGCUGAAUUUUAAGGAAACAGUGGAUUCACAAAGUUACAUCUCUGGUGCUGUGAUUCGCUUGAGAUGUCUGCCCUCUCUCUGUUCUCAUUCAGAUUCAUUCUUAUUUCUCCCUUUAAGACAAUGUGCAGAAAUAGCCAUCCUUGAGCUAGUUUCUAGCGAAUACACUCUUGUGCUAGCAAAUACCCAUACAUACUAUGAUUUAGUAUCUGUGUGUUGCAGUAUUGUAUUUCUCAUGACAUAUACACUCUGACUUUAUUAUUGCCUUCUUUCAUAGCCUAAUGCACAAUGGUCAUUAUUUUUCAACAAUCAUGGAAACAUAAUUUGACAUAGGAUCGAUAUUGGUGAAGUAUAAAAAAGCUUUUGGUUUCUGGUUUGAUACUGUAGGAAAUCUGGCGCCUUGGAUUUGCUAACGCACAAUAUGGUGUUUGUGGCUUCUCACAUGACCCAGUUUGUUUGUUUCUCUUUGGUCACUCACAAGCAUUUUCAUCAAUUAGCAUCCACAUUUACAGGCCAUAUAUAAUCUUAUGACUUUAAAGAAUUGAUGUUAACCAUAGGGAUUCAUAGUUGAACCAUAGGAGGUGGGUAUGUCAUACCUGGUCUUACUGAAGUAAGUUAUAGAAAUACCACAGUGGUACAUGGACAUUGUGUGUGUGAUGUACAGUAUUACAUAUCAACUGUGAGAUGUUUAAUUUUUGUUUCAGAGAUCAAAAUGGCCAAAGAGUGGAACAUUGGCAUAUAUAAAUUGUAUCGACAUAGCUUAUCCUAAUAGUACAUUGACCUAUGUUCAUGAAGCUAUGUUGUUGAACUCUCCUUCCCUCCAAUGCCUUGUCAUAGGAACCCUUUGGCCUAAAAUGAGUCAUCCACACUCCUUGCCUUACAGGAUGAUAAAGCACUUCUACUCAU